ACUGCAUCGAUGUCCUUCUGCUGGAGUUGCUGGUACAGGAUGUCCACAUGGGGCAUGAUGUUGUGAAAAACGCUCAAGAAAAAAACAAAGUCUUCGGGUGAAUCUCAUUCCUUUGCUCCAAAGAAAAUCUCAGCCCUAGCCCUCGCUGUUGCGCGUGCACGCACCGUGGAGCAAUGUCCCAAUACCUCUUUAAUGUAGCUUUAAGGGGUAAGGGGGAGGGCUAACAUCCCCUCAAAAUUGAGAUUUUCGAUGGGCACCCUCAAAGCGCUUCAGUUCUGAACACACAAUACCUUGCGAGAAAACGGAAAAUCAAGAAAUAUCCUAGACAAGAUGGAGGACGAAAAGAUGCGACAGGAUUGGAAAAACACAAAUGACUUUGUUGAGUCCACUGCCACCAGCCCCCCCCCCCCACCUCUCCCUCAUGCUCCUCCACCCCAGGCACCUCUUCCACCACCCCAGACACCCCUUCCAAGAGGAGAGUGCCAGGGGGCAGGCGAGGCAUGAGGAGAGCGAGGCAAAGUUGGCGGAAUGGUGGAGAAGAUGUGAUUCUCCACCAUUCUCUCAAAAGCUGAGAGAGAGUGUGUGUGUGUGUGUGUGUGUAUUUUUAGGUGUGCGUGUGUGUGUAUUUUUAGAUGCGUGUGUUUGUAUUUUUAGAUGUGUGGUUCAGUGUUUCUUAUUUAAAUAAAGUGUUUCUUCUAAAGUGUUCUUGUUCUUAACCGAUUAUUAUCUAAGGGUGCACUCACUAGGCCAUCUGUCCGUGGCCGUGGCCGUUUUAGCACCUAACCGUGCUCAAAUCUGCCAGUGUGAGUGUGGCCAGUCUGGCUAAUACCACCUUUAACAGUAUUAUUAUUUUUUUAACACUUUAUUUAAACAUGCCAAUUAGAAAAAUAUAAAUACCAUUUCAGGUUAAACAUCUUUACAAUGGGUCUUGCUCGUUGACCGAGACAAUGGCAGCCAGUCUGUCUCUUGUAACAUUACCAGGGGUCUGGUUAUCUGCUAGGGGGCACGGGGAGGCCAUGAUGACGUCACAGGGUAGGGUUGUCCCAUUUGGUAGGGGACCGUUAAGGGGUAGCAAUGAGGGGUAGCAAUGAGAUUGAGCAAUGAGGGUUAGGGUUGAGAUGUAGGGUUGAGACAGAGCAAAUGAAUGAGAUUGGGCCUUCAUCUUGCAGCAUUCGGAUGAACCCAGAUGCCUCUCUCACUGUUGGUUGGUCAAAUGAUGUCUUGAUGGUUUCGAAACAUUCAAUGAGGUCGGCUCGAUUCUCACUGACAGUGUUGACGAUCCUGCUGUUGAAAUUGCAUCUUGUAGCUGAAGCCCUCGGCAGUCUCCGGGCGACGACCUGAUCGAGAAUGCUGGUCAUCUUGGGUGAACAGGAAAAAAAACUUGAAAUCCCACUCAGCUCAGAGAAAAAAACCUUCACUUUGCUUAUGUUGGAUGUGGCUUGCUGCAUGAUCAGGUUCAGUUGGUGUGCGUAACAAUGCACAUAAUGUGCAUUUUUGAAGUGUUCACGCACCUUUUGCUGCACACCAGCCUUCUCUCCCCUCAUCACACUGGCACCAUCAUACGCUUGAGCGAUUAGUUUCUCUCUCUCGUCGUCGGAAAACAGACUGUUCAGUCGCUCCAGGAUCACAUUCGCUAUAGAGGUCGCCGUUGACUCGGUGAGGGGA
ensembl:lncRNA